rnacentral:tRNA from 1 species
GGUUUUGGCUCAGUGGUAGAGCACUUGCCUAGCAUGUAUGAGGCACUGGGUUCGAUCCUCAGCACCA